GACGAACGCUGGCGGCGUGCUUAACACAUGCAAGUCGAACGGAAAGGCCCUGCUUGCAGGGUACUCGAGUGGCGAACGGGUGAGUAACACGUGGGUGAUCUGCCCUGCACUUCGGGAUAAGCCUGGGAAACUGGGUCUAAUACCGGAUAGGAGCCAUUUUUAGUGUGAUGGUUGGAAAGUUUUUUUCGGUGUAGGAUGAGCUCGCGGCCUAUCAGCUUGUUGGUGGGGUAAUGGCCUACCAAGGCGGCGACGGGUAGCCGGCCUGAGAGGGUGGACGGCCACAGUGGGACUGAGAUACGGCCCAGACUCCUACGGGAGGCAGCAGUGGGGAAUAUUGCACAAUGGGCGCAAGCCUGAUGCAGCGACGCCGCGUGGGGGAUGACGGCCUUCGGGUUGUAAACUCCUUUCGCUAGGGACGAAGCUUUUUGUGACGGUACCUAGAGAAGAAGCACCGGCUAACUACGUG
rnacentral:rRNA from 1 species